rnacentral:rRNA from 1 species
AACGUAGGAGACAAACGUUAUCCGGAGUUACUGGGCGUAAAGGGCGUGUAGGUGGUUGUGUAAGUCUGGCGUGAAAUUUUUCGGCUUAACCGGGAAAGGUCGUCGGAUACUGCAGAACUAGAGGACGGUAGAGGCGUGUGGAAUUCCGGGUGUAGUGGUGAAAUGCGUAGAGAUCCGGAGGAACACCAGUGGCGAUAGCGACACGCUGGGCCGUACCUGACACUGAUGCGCGACAGCAUGGGGAGCAAACAGG